rnacentral:RNase_P_RNA from 1 species
GGGGUAAGCCAGGCAGUCGCGUGUGAAAACAUGAGGAAAGUCCGGGCUCCGCAGGGUAAGGAUGCCAGAUAACGUCUGGCGUAGGUAACUAUAGGGAAAGUGCAACAGAAACAUUCCGCCGAAACGGGUAAUGCCGUGGUAAGGUUGAAAUGGUGAGGUAAGAGCUCACCGGCAUUAUGGAGACAUAAUGGCCGUGUAAACCCCAUCCGGAGCAAGGUCAAAUAGGGCACAAAAUAUGGCGACCCGUCAUAGCCCGGAAGGUAGACCGCAUGAGCGUGCAGCGAUGUUUACGCCUUAGAUAGAUGAUUGCCAAAUACAGAACCCGGCUUAUAGGCUUACCCAUCUU